rnacentral:piRNA from 1 species
UGUUAUCUUCCUGUCUCUCCCUGCAA